GCAUGCUUGGGCAAGCUAGGAACUGCUGCACCCUGUUUACUGAUUUCACCCUCCUCCCUCCCCACAGCCUAACCCUACCAGGUUCGCCAGAAUGUCUUUAAUCACUGUAUGGAGCAUUGGAGACAGAAGAUAGAAAGGGGUCAGAGUGGGCUCUCAUGGGACCACCUGUACAGGUGCAGCACAGGGUCCUUCUACAGCACAGCGAGGCCCACCUGUAGGGUCGAGUCUCACACACCCGAGAGUGUGAACAGAAGGGGACUGCUCACCUUGUCUGCUCUCCUGGGUGACAUUGCUCAGGCCACCGUCUUCAGCUAAGCCUUGCUCCAAGUUGGCCAGGAUCUGCAGUCAUUUCAAACAAGGAAACGAAACUGAUGAGAAGACUACGUGUGUGAAAAAGUGGGGACAAUGUUAAUGGAAAAGGCUCUCCUGCAUCUGUCUGCUCUGUGGAAAACCUGUCUUCCUCUCGCCACCUGCUGGGUGACGUUAUCCCCGUGGCUACCCCCCAGGAGGCAGGUAGGCAGUGGAGGACAGCACUGAGUGUCCUCUCAACACCUACCUAUGCCACACUGGUAUUAUCCUUUGUAAAGUCAGUAGUUUGUAUAACCAAGAGAGUAAUUAGCUCUGGACUGUGACUUGAGACACAUGUGAGGCUCAAGACUGUCCUUUGAGAGAUUCAGGACACAGACCUUGGAGGGAAGUAAGCCAGUGCCAACUAUGUCAAAUGACAUUUCCCAGCUAAUCUGCUAAUCUGACAGAGAAGGAACUCUUAAAUCCCCUCAGGCUGGAGUGGAGGGAGCCUGGGAAGAAAGAGAAGGGAUGAGGGACAGCAGAGGGCACCAGCAUUCAGGAUCCAGUCUGAGAGCGCAGUGAACUAGGACAAAGGCUGGAUCUGCAUCACGAAAAAGCCGCAGGCAGCAGGACAGUGGACAGUUCUCGGGCUAUGAGGGGUGUGGAGAGGUCCGUGUGCACAACUCUGUGUUCUAGGACCACUGCACCACCCACCCCGGAACACACCUGGAUCUCUGUACUGGCCGUUCAGGCCUGGGGGAAGGCUGCCUCCAUGGAGCCCUGCACAUCUCAGCUACCUCCCAUGGGAGGGUGGAGGCUGCCUGCUGUUCUGGCUCUGCAGAAGGGGCGCUUCAGAGGGGCAGCAGCAUGCACUGCAAUGUGAGAGGCAGCACAGACAGAAGCUACUGGCAAUGGAGGUGGCAGAGGCGGGGCUCUCCCGGUUUUGUGACAGUCUGGGGAAUCUUCUUUUCCAACAGGCUCACUGGCUAAUGCUCACGUCCCAAGCUGGUGGCCCUACUGUGAGGUUCUACAGAGCUCAGGAAGUAGGACUUAGCUGGUAGAGGUAGGUACUGGGGAAAGGUCCUUGGGACCAUGUGGUCCCCAGCCAGAUACAAAGGGAACAGCUUGUGCCAUGCAGUCUUCCUGUGAUGCUAUGCUGGGGCACAUGGGUCAAGUGACGAGCCUGAACCCUCUGAAAACCAUGAAUCAAAACAAACAUUUUCCCUCCCUUCAGUGUUCUUGCUGGGUUUGGGUCGCAGCAUUUCUAAGACAAGUAAUUAGCAUAGCAAUUAGCUACACACGGGGGAGGGGGAGGGAGGAGGAGGAGAAGGGGGACUGGAGCAGGUUACAGCCGCUCUCACCUCCUGUGGGUCUGGCGAGUGGGACUGCUCCAGGGUCUGCAGUGUCCCAGGCCACUAAGGGGCUUGAGUAUCGGUGGGAAGGUUCUGACUGCAGACAUGAGAGGUUUCUGAGCCUCAGGGGCCAUGUCUGCACCACUUAGGAGAUGCGGGUACUGCAGGGAAAGGUUGACCUUGUGACCCCCCACCCACAGGUCUGUGUUGUCCCAGAUGCAGAACAAGUAUCAUCAACUGGAUCCCUCCCAGCAGGCGCAAUGCACCACACUGUUUUGGAACAUGCUCUGAAGGCAGAGGUCCCUGGGAAAGCGUGGGCGGCAGAAUGGUAUCAACUGGCAUUUCUACUGAAUUUGAGUAGAUAAACCUGAAGGUGAGAGAUUUCUUUCGGUUUUAUCAAAUGUAAAUCAAGAGUACAUUGUGGCCACGGCCCAGAGUAGCCACCUAGUCUGGGUGAGACAGGAUCUAAAGCUGUGCAGGCCCAUUUUCUUCUUCACCCUGAAGCCCCAUCUUCCUCUCUCCUGUCCCUCCCCACACCCAUAAUCACCAAGGACUGGUGUUGAUGCUGUGAACGACAUAGCCCAAUAUAAGCUGCGGGGAGGUCCAGCCAAGGGUGCUGGCAAGCAGUGCCACAGGAGUGGACUCUCUUCUAAUCCAGGGCAGAGCUCUCCAAAAGGAGACAGAAGCUAUGGCCCCAGGUUAGUAUGAUAGCUUACUCUGUAAUGAAAAAAGGGAGGGGAGGGCCUUUAUUCCCCUCCCUCAAAACAGGUCUUACAAUAUGGCCCAGGCUGGUUUUGAGCUUACGGGGUCCUCUUCCCUCAGCUACCCAAGUAGUUAGGAUUUUGUUGCUUGUGCGCUCUCCCUGGUCCAGUUCUGGUCUAACACCUUGUAAAGAGUUAAUGGCUUAGAAGACUCUUCAAGGCCAGAGCAGUCCUCAGCUGAGGUCCUGCUGGCAUAUGGUUGGAAACUGUGGGACAAGCCCAAAAAAGGAGGUCCCUUGGGUGCCAUGUGCAGAAGAUGGGGGCAGAACAGCUCCAGGAGGGGUGGGAGCGGCUGCGUUUGGGUAUCUGGGUGUCAUCUUGGCCAUGUGGGCAAGUCUAGGCUCUACCAUCCUUCAGAGAUCCAGCCCUGGGUCUGUAAUCUGCCACUGCAGAGACAAGGGGCUUGCAGCCUGGAAGCCAGUGACAGACAGACAGGAGUGCCCCUGGUGAUGGGAACUGAGAAAGCAGAGGACAGAGCUCAGCCGGAGGAUGGUGCCAUGACAGGCUGGAGCAGCUGGAGGUCUGAGCUCAGAAAAGGGGGACGCACUCCUCUAUCUGUGGUUGGCAAGAGAAAGUAGAGUUGGUAGGGCCAAGGGAUAGCCGGUCUGAGGUGAAGCAGGAUGGCCUCUGCACUGAGAUCUUUGAGAUGUUUGGAUGAUCACCUUGGAGCAUCCUGUGGCCUUGAGAAGUGUAAGCAGUCAAUCAUCUGUAGGAAGGGGCAAGGGAAGAGACGGGUGGGCUGUGGCUCUCAAAGUCCCCAUAAAAGAUGAGGAGGAUCGGAGGCAGAGUGACCACACAGGACCAGGUGCUGCACAGAACAGAGUGACCACACAGGGCCAGGCGCUGCACAGAACAGUGACCACACAGGGACAGGCACUGCACAGAACAGUGACCACACAGGACCAGGCGCUGCACACAGUGGAGUACACACAAAGGAGAAUGUGCGUGUGUCCACGUGGAUGCGUGGGGCGUCUGGGCAGAAGGGGUGCACACCGCACUCUUGCCUCAAGAAGCUGUGUGUAGACUACAGGGAAUCCGUUCUACAGAUGGACACUGUCAGUUCAGAACGCAAACGGUUCCUUUUCCACCAGCCCUCCAUGUCCUCGCGCACAGCGAGGCACAGUCACAGCGGUGACACUGGACACAGUGAGAUGUGGCUUCAGGUUCAGGAUGACUUAAGCUUAUCAUCUCUAAUCUCUAUUUCCCUAUCUGGAAGCCCCAACACAUUUUUUCUCAUCUGCAUUACAGAGUAUGGGGCUCCAUGGAGAAUGCACUUCCAGGGUUUUGUAAACUUCAUAAAUGCCAAGGGAAAAUUAAUUACAUGAAGCCAUAACAAAAAAAUUAAAAAAAAAAAUAAAAACUGUUCCAUUGCCUCAUUUUUCCUGUGGUCUUUUUUUUGACAGUUUGUGAUCUGGGAGCAAUGAGGCUAACCCUUGCUGACUGCUGAAUAAUAAGUGGGUCUCUGCCACUUCUGGGAGCUGUCUCAGCAGGCUGCCUGAGAUGCUGGGGAGGACACUGAGGCCUGUGGGUGUGGCUUCUCCAGACACCUGACCCUAGGCUGGCUCCUUCCACCAGGAACUGUCAGGGAGAAGAAAUGGAGGACAGGGUUCCCCUAAAGCAUGCCCAGAACCUAUUCAUCCUUAAGAAUGGCAGAUUCCAGCCGACUUGCCGAGGUAUAAUACUUAAACCAAGGGCCACCUUCUCACUUCAGGGCACACGGUUCAAAGGCUGGAUAAACAGAACUGGGUAGAGGUGACACUGGGCCCCCAAGGUGAUUCUGGGGUUCUUCCUGCUUUUUGGGUAGGGAGUCAGGUGCUGCAUGAGGACAUGCAAGCAAGGAAUGGGGGGCCUCUCAUGAACGAACAGUAGCCCUUGACAGGUGUGGGGGAGCAAGCUGGCAGCGCACUCCAGGCUGGAGCUACUACUGUCCUGGAGGUGGUCCAGACAGAAAACCUGACCGAGUUGUUACUGCCUCACAGAGCAGGCUGGAAUGGAGUGACAGUCCCAGUUCUGAAAGACAAGAGCCACCACCAACAGAUCCCCCCGAUGACCUUCAAAGGACUGAAGCUCUCCCUGAAGUAGGGAAUGUUUUUGGUGGCAAUCUAAAGCAAUAAAUGGUGAACCCUGAGACUCUGGCCCCAGGUGAUACCCAGCGGCCCACAGCCACAGAGCACCCGGGCUGCUGCUAUGGGUCACAGUGGUUAAAGAAGGUCCCUUUUCUGAUUUUAUCACUGGCGUCUCGGAGUGGCUUCCCAGGAUGGUCCCUGCCCUAAUUCCAUGAUCACAACCAUUGGGAAAAGCAAGAGUGGGAGUCCUUUACAGAACCUGAAGACACAGCCACCAACUGAACAGUGCAGGCGGAGAUGCCCAGAACGACAACCUUGUUAUGAAGGAGUGACAUGGGGGGGGGGGCAGGACGGACACUCUGGUUUGCCUGUCCUCUCCAUCUUUCCCCUCAAUUCAUUUACUUUUGCCUCCUCUGCGCAUCUGAUCUCUCCUCUUUUGCAGACUCAGUAAGGCCCCCUGUUCUCCUUAGUUCAUAUGAACCAACUCACAGAGAAGUAACUGUCGUGACCCGGGGAGCAAAUGCAGACGCUGGCCUCAGAUCAAGAUGCAGGAGAACACUUAUGAGGAAAAGGCCUCUGGAGAGAGGGCCUUCGCCCAGUAUGGCCCUCUCUUUGCAGCCCAGAUCCACCUCCCUUAUAGCCUGUCCCACCCAUUGUACAUCUAAAGAGUCUGGCCUCCUUCACCGCUGACCCUGAGUAAGCUUGUUUCCUUAAAGAAGUUUCUGUCUCCUGUAUUUUCAGUAGAGUGGUAAUGUAUCACAAUUCUACAGCCAAAGGGAAUGGAGCCUGUCUGCCCCAAAGGUACCAUGCUCCUGUAGCUCUGCCCACCCACAGAGGAGUGGACAGAGCACAUGUGGCAUCUUCACACAGCUGAGUGGCAUUCAGGAGUGAAUGGAAUUCAGUCACCUGCAGCAACAGCAAGAAAACUGGAGGGCAGCAGCAUGGCCUGCUUGCUCCCCAGGUGGGAGUCAGGAGGACCUGAGCGUACAGGUGUCAGAGGUGGGCAAAGGGUUGAUAAAGGAGGCGGCAUUUGCAUGGAAAUACAGCGCCCGAACCCAUCAACAGGUGCAAUUAACCCACUAAUGGAAAAUUAAAGGAAGUGCUUUAAGCCACAGAGUAAUUUGCCAGGCAGCAGCUGAUCACAAGCGUGCAGCUGAGUCAAGGUUACCUUGCGCUGACUUCAAUUUAGGGCUUCCCAGGAGGGGCAGUGAGCCGAAACACUCCGGAAUUUCAGCUCAUUCGAUCUGCAUGUCAUGAAAUGCAUCCCUCGCUGGGGUCCCACGAGCUCACCACUGCAGUCAGCUUCAGUUGUGGGAAGAGGCAACUGAGGGGGCAGGCGGCAGGAGGAAGCAGGAGGAUGGGGGAGAGGCAUCCUCACUUGGCUGCGUCUCUGAUAAGGAGGCUCGGUAAAGCAGAGGGGCUCUUCCAGAUCCCCUGCACACAUUCUGGACUAAUCUGGAUAACAGACUCUGUUCCCCAAUGCAACAACUACCACUAAGCACCCACAGCUUAGGAAAGCUGUGCAUCCCAGGGCCAUGAUGCCUGAGUGACUCUGGCACCCUGCCUGAAUCCGUCUACAGCUACUACCACUUGCCUGCCACAGUAUUUAAGAUGGCAACCUGUAACCUAUAUAAACGGAUCCAGCUCCCUGCUUUGAGUUUUACAGUUAAGAGGGAAGCCUUCCUGCCUUUAUCAAUGGCACCGGUGGGCCCUCUAGAACAUAGGCUUCCUGGAGGGGAGAGGGUUUUCAGGGUGUUCCUGUUGAAUUAUUCCACAUCUCCACUGCUCCAGCACCGAGUGCUCACUAGUCCAGGUCACAAGCCACAUCGCUCAGCACACAGACCAGGCCAGGUCCGGAUGAACAGCUGGAUGCUUCCACCCAGUCGGUGUGACUCCAGAACGCUCUCACAAAGCCUCUAGGACCUUAACGCCUUAAAAAAGGGGGAGGAGUGCUUUUCUUUCCACUUAUAUCAGGUUGAGGGGAUGUAGGACAGAAAGGCAAAGAGGGUUGAAUGAAAGACAUUUCCUAGCUGGAAAGUCUGCUUUUCUCUAGGUUCCCAUGUGCCCUUCACAGUCUUGGGGCCCAUGCCUGGUCUAUCAAGAUUCCACCCUGGUGGAGUGCCCAGUGGCUUUAUUAUUCACGCCCUGGGAUUUGUAAUGGUGGCAUUCAGAGGUUUCUGGAGUACAUUUGCACUGUGAGCGCCACCAGGGCAGUGAAACUGCAAACCCACACAGAGGGAGGCAUGGGUCCUUCACUGAGGGUAAUUUGCUCUGGGCAGGAAUGGGGCUGGCCAAGUGUGAGGCCUGGAAGGCAGGGAGUGUGGCUGUAGCCCAGAUGGACGAAGUGGUCCUUGCCCAUUCUUUCUGGCUGUUUAUCUGCUUGCCGAGUGCCCCAUCUCCUCUGAGUACGUCACAAUUAAUCUGCUGUCUGCCGAAAGGCAGAAAAGUGGAGCAAGGAAAGCAUCUGCCCUGGGGAGCGCCAGCAGCAGGCAGCGUCAGACGCCAUCAGGGUGCUGACAGCUGGCCUGCCCGAGCCCAGUGAGAGGACAGUGGUGGCUGUUGUCCUGCAUUUCUAACCGUGUCUACUGUAAAGCAGCAAACCCAAGUGCGCCCAUCUGUCAGAAACCCCUUUUAGCAAAGACGCCAACCCUUCCUGGAACAGAGCUCUCACGCUGUCUUGUGAGCCAUCAGUAGAGAAGCGGGCCACAUCACAUCCCACGCGAUUCCUUUUCAGAGCGCAGGAGACAGAGCCUCAUCUGCUGCCUACUCCAGCUGCAGCUCAGGAAGCCUUUCCACCUGGCACCCCAAAGCCAAAUAUACCUGGGGUUUUGGGGAGGGGGUGGCUCAUCUGUAUUGGCAAAUGAAAUUAACCCCAGGCUAAUUGGACUUCAGUGUUUAUGGAUUACACCUAUUUAUGCAAACGGCUUUUAGGAAUGUCUCUAUUGAGUUCUUUCCCAAUUGGCUUGCAAAGCUCUGGUGACACCCGGAGGCACAGACAGCCUGCAGAACCAGAAAGAGAGGCGUAGAAAGCAGAAGAUAGACAUCUGUCUGCAGACAGUGACAGCCAUAAAAUUCUGAGUCACAGCAGCAUGGCACAUUUGAUUCCACUUAAACCAAACACGUGAGUUCACCAAACGACUCAAAGACAAUAGACAAAACCAACAUGGGACUCCUUUGUGGAAAGUAAUGUCCUGAUAAAACUGGAUGCCACUUAAGAACAUGGCCCUGACAGGCACAUCUGAGCACACACAGACUCCGUCCAUUCCUUGGUGUGUAUUCCACACAGGAAGAACUCAUCGGGCAAACUGGAUUACAGAUGCUCAGAAUGAGGUAACGAGGACGACUCCCCUCUCUGCCUUGGUGACCAGGCUGUCAAGCUUCAUGGCAAACCUGCUGAGUAUCUCACUAGUCCCAAGUCUGGGGUUUUGCUAUGUAGCCAAGGCUGGUUUUGAUGCAAUCCUCCUGCCUAGCUUCUUCCUUCCCAGGUCCUUUCCUGAGUAACGGCAAGUGCAGGUGUGUGUCACCAUGCCUGCUUUGAUUGUGCUUACGAUAGAAGAUGAGUUACCGCGAGAAGAGCUGGUUACAUGUAAGCGAGCAAGCAGGUCUGGCUUUUGUAAUUUUUUUGGGUAGUGUUUUCACACCCAGUCUGGCUAAGAACUUGUGCUUUGUCCACUCAGCCUCCUGAGUCCUGGGAUUACGUGUGCCACCAUGCCUAGCUCUACCUUCUAUGUGACGGCAUGGCCAGUGAAGUGGAUACACAGUCAAGGGUGCCAGGUGCCUGAAUCCCUGUCCCACUCGAGUAAGGGUCUCUGCACAAGCUGGCAGGCUCUCACCCCUCCUGCACUCUGCAGGGAGACUAACGUCAUGACCCGGGACACCACAGUACUUUUAUGAGAAAAGUCAGGAGGUGAAAAGAGGCUUAACAAAUAUUACUAUACUUUUCUCAGAAACUAUACCAUGCUGCCAUUCCUACCAGGUCCUACCAGAAACACUGUGAGGAGGGCUGGACAGCAACGCCACUCUUAACCCGAGGUGAGGCUUCUGAGGGAGGGGUUUCCCACAAUGUGUGGAUGGCAAAGCUGCCGAGCUUCACACUUCUCCAGAGAGAAAACCAAUUGGAAAUGACAGUUUGAGGUCCUGUGAUUCAAAAAUUACUUUGUAGUUGGACACAAUUAGACAAGUAUCCACAGCCUUCUGGCCUUUGGCAUUGGUCCAGGGAAUGAUGGCUGUCACCUCCCAGGGUCAUUCUGAAGAUCCCACACGGUUACAGUGCUCUGCUUGGCACAGGAGUGGCCUGGCUCACUCUCAGGGAGGCUGAUAGUGCUCACCUGUGUGGUCUCCAAUGAAAAAUGUGUCCGCUGUGAACUAAGGAAAGGGAUUUCAGGACGCGGACUCUGCCCCAAAUCACCCUCGAGUCCCCCCAAUCACUUUAGGCAUGAAUACCACGGCCAUGCUAUUCCAGGACCUCGUGUGUGCGGAAGAAGUGAGACAGUGAGACGGUCUCCCUGGGGACAGGUGGAGAACGACAUGUUCUGAGCGCUGAGACGAAACGGGUUAAACAC